AAGUCGUAACAAGGUUUCCGUAGGUGAACCUGCGGAAGGAUCAUUACAAAUGCACGAAGCAUCUUAUUGGACCCUGUUGAAUAGUAUAUAUCACCAUGGGAGGGGCGGGGGCUAGCCAAUCACAUGAUCGGUGGCCCUUGCCCCUUUCUUUAUGGACACUGCAUAGUAUAUGGACAGAGGGGCGCAGUGUGCGCAUGUGAUACAAUCUAUCCAUGUGCGCACCGUGCCCCGUCAUUUAAAUGAAUCGUAAUGUGACCAACUUUUAACAAUGGAUCUCUUGGCUCUU
rnacentral:misc_RNA from 1 species